UGGGGAAUUUUGCACAAUGGAGGAAACUCUGAUGCAGCGACGCCGCGUGAGUGAUGAAGAUCUUCGGAUUGUAAAACUCUGUCCUUAGUGAAGAUAAUGACAGUAACUAAGAAGCAAGCCCUGGCUAAAUACGUGCCAGCAGCCGCGGUAAUACGUAUGGGGCAAGCGUUGUCCGGAAUUAUUGGGCGUAAAGGGUACGUAGGCGGUUUAAUAAGUCCUAAUUAAAAGGCUAUGGCUCAACCAUAGUAUGGUUAGGAAACUGUUGAACUUGAGUAGAUGAGGGGAAAGUGGAAUUCCAUGUGUAGCGGUGAAAUGCGUAGAUAUAUGGAGGAACACCAAUGGCGAAGGCAACUUUCUGGAAUCAAACUGUCGCUGAGGUACGAAGGCGUGGGGAGCAAACAGG
rnacentral:rRNA from 1 species